GAGCCAAUCGCAGCCCAGGGGCGGGUACUGAGGGUAUAUAAAGCAGCUCGGCGGCGUCCUGGAUCUCUCCCGGGACGGCGAAAAAUUAGGUUUGGGGAGCCGCCCCUGGAACCGGAGCUGUCGUGUCCUCCUCUUUUAAUUUACCGUUGCCAACAAUAAAGGCCUUUCCUGCCGU